rnacentral:rRNA from 1 species
CCAAUAGCGUAUAUUAAAGUUGUUGCAGUUAAAAAGCUCGUAGUUGAAUUUCGGGGUUAGUAGGUUGGUCAUGCCUCUGGUAUGUACUGGUCUCACUGAUUCCUCCUUCCUGAUGAACCGUAAUGCCAUUAAUUUGGUGUUGCGGGGAAUUUGGACUGUUACUUUGAAAAAAUUAGAGUGUUUAAAGCAAGCUAACGCUUGAAUACAUUAGCAUGGAAUAAUGAAAUAGGACGUUCGAUCCUAUUUUGUUGGUUUCUAGGAUUGACAUAAUGAUUAAUAGGGAUAGUUGGGGGCAUUAGUAUUCAAUUGUCAGAGGUGAAAUUCUUGGAUUUAUUGAAGACUAACUACUGCGAAAGCAUUUGCCAAGGAUGUUUUCAUUAAUCAAGAACGAAAGUUAGGGGAUCGAAGACGAUCAGAUACCGUCGUAGUCUUAACCAUAAACUAUGCCGACUAGGGAUCGGAUGAUGUUAAUUUUUUAAUGACUCAUUCGGCGCCUUACG